rnacentral:rRNA from 1 species
CCUACGGGGGGCAGCAGUGGGGAAUAUUGGACAAUGGGGGGAACCCUGAUCCAGCCAUGCCGCGUGUGUGAAGAAGGCCCUCGGGUUGUAAAGCACUUUCAGUGAGGAAGAACGCCUGGUGGUUAAUACCCAUCAGGAAAGACAUCACUCACAGAAGAAGCACCGGCUAACUCCGUGCCAGCAGCCGCGGUAAUACGGAGGGUGCGAGCGUUAAUCGGAAUUACUGGGCGUAAAGCGCGCGUAGGUGGCUUGAUAAGCCGGUUGUGAAAGCCCCGGGCUCAAACUGGGAACGGCAUCCGGAACUGUCAAGCUAGAGUGCAGGAGAGGAAGGUAGAAUUCCCGGUGUAGCGGUGAAAUGCGUAGAGAUCGGGAGGAAUACCAGUGGCGAAGGCGGCCUUCUGGACUGACACUGACACUGAGGUGCGAAAGCGUGGGUAGCAAACAGGAUUAGAUACCCCUGUAGUC